rnacentral:miRNA from 1 species
UUUCGCCUCGAACACUGUCAUC